rnacentral:lncRNA from 1 species
AUGUCUGCUUAUGCCUUCUUUGGGCAGAUGUGCAGAGAAGAACAUAAGAAGAAAAACCCAGAGGUCUCCCUGUCAAUUUUACAGAAUUUUCCAAGAAGCGCUCUGAGAGGUAGAAGACAGAGUCUGGGAAAGAGAAGCCUAAAUUUGGUGAAGUGGCAAAGGCGGAUAAAGUAUGCUAUGAUUGGGAAAUGAAGGAUUAUGGACCAGCUAAGUGAGACAAGAAGAAGGACCCUAAUGCCCCCAAAAGGCCAUCGACUGCAUUCUUCCUGUUCUGUUAAGAAUUCAGCCCCAAGAUAAAAUCCACAAACCCUGGCAACUCUUUUGGUGACAUGGCAAAAAAAAGAAAACUGGGUGAGAUGUGGAAUAACCUAAGUGACAAUGAAAAGCAGCCUUACAUCCCUAAGAUGGCCAAGCUGAAGGAGAAGUAUGAGAAGAAUGCUGCUGACUAUAAGUUUCAAGGAAAGUUUGCUGGUGCAAAGGAUCCUGCUAAAGUUGCCCGGAAGAAGACGGAAGAGGAAGAUGAAGAAGACGAGGAGGAAGAAGAGAAGAAGGAGGAGUAG